rnacentral:misc_RNA from 1 species
CUGAAGGAAUGGUAGAGUUGAGCUGGCUCCUUAGGAGUAUGUGCUCGCUCCAUCGCUUUUUCUACUCUCCACUGUGCACCUCUUGUAGGCUACGAUGUUUCAGAGGGCUUUAGCAGUUCACUUGCUUCGCUUCGACUUCGUAGUCUAUGUCUUACACACUCUGUCAAAGUAUAUGAAUGUGUAUUGUUGGUCUUUGACCGAUAAACUAUAUA